rnacentral:rRNA from 1 species
UACGUAGGUGGCAAGCGUUGUCCGGAAUUAUUGGGCGUAAAGCGCGCGCAGGCGGUUCCUUAAGUCUGAUGUGAAAGCCCCCGGCUCAACCGGGGAGGGUCAUUGGAAACUGGGGAACUUGAGUGCAGAAGAGGAGAGCGGAAUUCCACGUGUAGCGGUGAAAUGCGUAGAGAUGUGGAGGAACACCAGUGGCGAAGGCGGCUCUCUGGUCUGUAACUGACGCUGAGGCG